rnacentral:rRNA from 1 species
ACGUAAUAGAUACCCUGGUAGUCCACGCCCUAAACGAUGUCUACUAGUUGUUGGUGGAGUAAAAUCCAUGAGUAAACGCAGCUAAACGCGUAAAGUAGACCGCCUGGGGAGUACGGUCGCAAGAUUAAAACUCAAAUGAAUUGACGGGGGCCCGGCACAAGCGGUGGAUUAUGUGGAUUAAAUUCGAUGCAACGCGAAAAACCUUAGCCUGGCCUUGACAUGUAACGAACUUUCCUAGAGAUGGAUUGGUGCUCGAAAGAGACGUUAACACAGGUGCUGCAUGGCUGUCGUCAGCUCGUGUCGUGAGAUGUUGGG